rnacentral:pre_miRNA from 1 species
AGGGGAGCACCGAAUGUUGGGCUGUGUCCCCCAGCGCCCUGGGCUCCAGGGCCUGCACUGCUGCAAACGUGCUCCUGCAGCCGUGCAGCCCCCU